rnacentral:rRNA from 1 species
GACGAACGCUGGCGGCGUGCUUAACACAUGCCAGUCGAACGGAAAGGCCCUGCUUUUGUGGGGUGCUCGAGUGGCGAACGGGUGAGUAACACGUGAGUAACCUGCCCUUGACUUUGGGAUAACUUCAGGAAACUGGGGCUAAUACCGGAUAGGAGCUCCUGCUGCAUGGUGGGGGUUGGAAAGUUUCGGCGGUUGGGGAUGGACUCGCGGCUUAUCAGCUUGUUGGUGGGGUAGUGGCUUACCAAGGCUUUGACGGGUAGCCGGCCUGAGAGGGUGACCGGCCACAUUGGGACUGAGAUACGGCCCAGACUCCUACGGGAGGCAGCAGUGGGGAAUAUUGCACAAUGGGCGGAAGCCUGAUGCAGCAACGCCGCGUGCGGGAUGACGGCCUUCGGGUUGUAAACCGCUUUCGCCUGUGACGAAGCGUGAGUGACGGUAAUGGGUAAAGAAGCACCGGCUAAUUACGUG